CCCGGCUUAACUCAGUGGUAGAGUAGAUGGCUGUAGACCAUUUUGCCCCCAGUUCGAAUCUGGGAGCCGGGA
rnacentral:tRNA from 1 species